rnacentral:lncRNA from 1 species
AUGCAUUCCUUAAUUUUUAGGAACCAGUGUACUCCACUGUUACUUGCCACCACUUCAGGAGUUCUGGACACUAUUCUAUACCUAUUUUCUCUUGGGGCUAACUGGAGAAAAACAGACACUAAAGGAAACAAUAUAAUUCAUUUGUCAGUGCUAACCUUUCACACAGAGGUACUUAAGCAUAUAAUAGAAUUAAACAUUCCUGAACUCCCAGUUUGGAAAACUUUGGUAGAAACGAAAUGAACCGCUCUAUUACCUGUUAUGGCAACUACAGCUUGUAUUUUUCUAUUGAAUGCUAACAGAAAUGUUGCAGUGUGAAAACUUUAAACGAAGGAUGAUGGCUGUCAUGUCCUUAGAAGUAAUUUGCUUAGCAAAUGAUCGAUACUGGAAAUAUAUUUUGGAUGCAGGUAAUGCAAAUCUAUGUAUUAACUAUAUUUUUCCUAUGCUAUUUUAAAGAGAGCUAUAUUUUUUUCAGGCCAGUUACGUGUGUGUGUGUGUGUGUGUGUGUGUGUGUGUGUGUGUUUGGUGCUAGGGACUGAAUUCAGGGCUUUGUGUAUGCACACUGCACACUACAACCAGCCCUAAGAUACAUUUGUGACUGUAAAAAAAUCUUUUUAGUCCAUUUUAAGUUUCCCUUUUCUCUAAGAUCACCUCCUUUGUCUGUCAAUCACUUAUUUUCUAUGUGGAAGCUAUAUAGGAUCAAAAAUCUGAAUAAAUUUUAGAGAAAUUCUAUUUCUCUAAAAGCUUACAAAUGUAAACACUGCUAUUAAAUUAUUUUAACACACCGUUUAUAUUUACUUUCACUUAGAAAUGAUCCCUAUUCUGUAUUUGCACAAUUUCAUUUUCUAAAUUAAAAAUAGCGAGUAAGUGGCAGGCCAGACUUGUAGCUAGACCUUCAUUUGCAAGUUAAAUUAAUUACUUAGCCUCUCUGUCCUAAUUUCCUCCUUAAUAAAUAGUUCAACUUCAGAGGAUCGUUUUGAGAACAAUACCAUUCAAUGCAACUUUCUGAAAUGAGGAAAAUAUUCUGUCCAUACUCCCAUAAUAUGGACACUAAAGGCACAUGAGAUACUCUAUAAAUAAUGUUAAAUAAAUAGAUUAAGUAAAUUUAAUUAAUUAUAGACAUCCCUCUAAUGUAUCCCAAAAAGCAUGUACAGAAAGCAUUAUGUCAAAAGAGUGAAACAAAAAUUCAAAUCAUGAAGGAUGUUUCAUUGCGGCCAGCUACACAAAUAAAUGAAUAAAGCCCUAGUUAUAUGAUUAUCUUUCCUAUCAGUUUGUGUGUUGUAUGCCAAUCUCUUUAUUUCACACUGAGUUGAUGUAAGUAUAAGAAGCAUGCAGCUGAAGCCAAAUUUUCUGUUUUCAAUACGCUCAGUGAUUUCAGUCUUUAAA